UAUUUUUUAAAAAACCAUCCCACAUUUGUUGCUAUUUUCUAUUGUUUUCCAAGUCUCCAUUUUAUUUAUUUGUGCUCUGAUGUUUAUUAUUACCUUCCUUCUACUAUCUUUGGGCAUAAACUCUCUUCUUUUUCUCGUUCCUUGAGGUGUAACAUUUGGUUGUUAUUUGAAAUCUUUGUUGUUUUUUGAGGUGAAGUUAGGUGUGUAUGUGUUUAUAAUUAUUAUAGACUCUUGAUGAAUCGACCCCUUUAUUAUCAUAUAAUGACUUUCCUCAUUGUUUCUGGUUGUUUUGUGGAUUCCUUGUUCCUUUCUUCUUACUGUCUCCACACAAAAUAGAAACAAACAAAAAAAUUAGCUGCACUCCAGUCCAGGUGACAGAGUGAGAUCCUGUCUCAAAACAAACAAAGAAACAUACAAAAAACAAAACCCAAAUAACAAACAGACUCAAAAACCAGAUCGUUUUCUCUCAGCUUGAAGAAUUCCCUCUAGCAUUCCUUGUAAUGCAGUGAACUACUUUAGGAAGAUUAUUUUU
rnacentral:lncRNA from 1 species